ACAGAGGGGGCAAGCGUUGUUCGGAAUUACUGGGCGUAAAGGGCGCGUAGGCGGCCUGCUAAGUCGAACGUGAAAGCCCCGGGCUCAACCUGGGAACUGCAUCUGAUACUGGUGGACUAGAGUGUGGUAGAGGAUGGCGGAAUUCCCGGUGUAGCGGUGAAAUGCGUAGAGAUCGGGAGGAACACCUGAGGCGAAGGCGGGCUACUGGGCUGAUACUGACGCUGAGGCGCGAAAGCUAGGGGAGCAAACGGGA
rnacentral:rRNA from 1 species